rnacentral:rRNA from 1 species
GAUGAACGCUGGCGGCGUGCCUAAUACAUGCAAGUCGAGCGAACAGACGAGGAGCUUGCUCCUUUGACGUUAGCGGCGGACGGGUGAGUAACACGUGGAUAACCUACCUAUCAGACUGGGAAAACUUCGGGAAACCGGAGCUAAUACCGGAUAAUAUAUUGAACCGCGUGGUUCAAUAGUGAAUGUCGGUUUUGCUGUCACUUAUAGAUGGAUCCGCGCCGCAUGAGCUAGUUGGUAAGGUAACGGGUUACCAAGGCAACGAUGCGUAGCCGACCUGAGAGGGUGAUCGGCCACACUGGAGGUGAGACACGGUCCAGACGCCUACGGGAGGCAGCAGUAGGGAAUCUUCCGCAAUGGGCGAGAGCCUGACGGAGCAACGCCGCGUGAGUGAUGAAGGUCUUCGGAUCGUAAAACUCUGUUAUGAGGGAAGAACAAAUGUGUAAGGAAAUAUGCACGUAGUGACGGUACCUAAUCAGAAAGCAACGGCUAACUACGUG